rnacentral:rRNA from 1 species
AUUGAACGCUGGCGGCAUGCCUUACACAUGCAAGUCGAACGGCAGCACGGGUGCUUGCACCUGGUGGCGAGUGGCGAACGGGUGAGUAAUAUAUCGGAACGUACCUUAUUGUGGGGGAUAACGCAGCGAAAGCUGUGCUAAUACCGCAUAAUCCCUAAGGGGGAAAGCGGGGGACCGUAAGGCCUCGCGCAAUUAGAGCGGCCGAUACCUGAUUAGCUAGCUGGUGAGGUAAAGGCUCACAAAGGCAACGAUCAGUAGCUGGUCUGAGAGGACGAUCAGCCACACUGGGACUGAGACACGGCCCAGACUCCUACGGGAGGCAGCAGUGGGGAAUUUUGGACAAUGGGGGCAACCCUGAUCCAGCAAUGCCGCGUGAGUGAAGAAGGCCUUCGGGUUGUAAAGCUCUUUUGUCAGGGAAGAAACAGCAGCUCUAACACAGUUUGCGAAUGACGGUACCUGAAGAAUAAGCACCGGCUAACUACGUGCCAGCCGCCGCGGUAA